rnacentral:tRNA from 1 species
GGGUCGUUAGCUCAGUUGGUUUAGAGCGCAUGCUUGACAGGCAUGAGGUCACAGGUUCGAAUCCCGUACGACCCA